GUGGGGAAUUUUGGACAAUGGGCGCAAGCCUGAUCCAGCAAUGCCGCGUGCAGGAAGAAGGCCUUCGGGUUGUAAACUGCUUUUGUACGGAACGAAACGGUCCGGGUUAAUACCCUGGGCUAAUGACGGUACCGUAAGAAUAAGCACCGGCUAACUACGUGCCAGCAGCCGCGGUAAUACGUAGGGUGCAAGCGUUAAUCGGAAUUACUGGGCGUAAAGCGUGCGCAGGCGGUUUUGUAAGACAGGCGUGAAAUCCCCGGGCUAAACCUGGGAAUUGCGCUUGUGACUGCAAGGCUGGAGUGCGGCAGAGGGGGAUGGAAUUCCGCGUGUAGCAGUGAAAUGCGUAGAUAUGCGGAGGAACACCGAUGGCGAAGGCAAUCCCCUGGGCCUGCACUGACGCUCAUGCACGAAAGCGUGGGGAGCAAACAGGAUUAGAUACCCUAGUAGUCC
rnacentral:rRNA from 1 species